rnacentral:lncRNA from 1 species
CAAACCCACCUGCGAUGGUCCUGGCUGUGUGAUCCAAUCUCCUGGGCCACGGAUGGCUACAUCCAGGCUGGAGGUCAAGUAAACCUUUGGGAAAAGGGCGAUGAGUCCUCACUGAUGGGCUGCAUGUGCCUGGGAAAGCUGCAUCUUUCUAGCCUCUUCAGAGGGCAUGCAAAAUUGCCUCUGCUCUCACAAGCAUCCUCCCCAUGCUGCUGCUUGGGCUCUCCUUCAGCCCGGACUGGUGGAGCUUCUUAAGCAUUGCUGGGGCUGCAGGGGGACCUGGGGGGCUGGGUCUGUGGUCCCUCGUGGGGGUCUUAGGAUGGAAGUGAAGCAGCAGGUGGCUUUUCUCGCUCAGGGCAUGAUGCCCCAUGAAGAGCAGAGGAAGGUGUGAACCAGCAGUUUGGCCUCAUGGAAACGGAAACCGGAGAGGGGAGAUUUAUCCACGGGCAUUAUGUGUGGUCUCUACAGAAAGCUGCACAGCACAGGAACUGGGCCUGGCCAGCCCUCCUGCACCCCUGGUGUUGGACCCCAGAAGAGCAUCACGUACUCCCAGAUGUUAUGCAAGGAACAAGGUGGAAAGCUUUGGUCUUGUUCAGUUAGUUCUUCAGCUGUUUUUCUGCCACAGGGCACCAGCAUUAGCUCCUCCAUCAGACCCUGAGAAAGCAGGAGAGGGCCUGCCAAAGUGCCUAUGUCAGGAGGAUGCUCCACAAGGUCCCUUUUUGCUGGCUAUCCUUCCCACGUGGCUGUUCCCAGCUUCUCUCUGGAGUGAGAACAAAAAGAAAGAUCUCAUGGAGAGGACUGUUUAA